rnacentral:tRNA from 5 species
UCCUCUGUAGUUCAGUCGGUAGAAUGGCGGACUGUUAAUCCGUAUGUCACUGGUUCGAGUCCAGUCAGAGGAGCCA